rnacentral:snRNA from 1 species
AUAGCUUCUCGGCCUUUUGGCUAAGAUCAAGUGUAGUAUCUGUUCUUAUCAGAUUUCCACUCAGGUCAUGACCUCACAGCUUCUUGAAUUCAAGUCCCACAUCAGGCUAUGCACAGACCCUAC